rnacentral:rRNA from 1 species
AGCAGCCGCGGUAAUUCCAGCUCCAAUAGCGUAUAUUAAAGUUGUUGCAGUUAAAAAGCUCGUAGUUGAAUUUCGGGAUCAGCAGGUCGGUCGUGCCACUGGUAUGCACUGGCCUUGCUGAUUCCUCCCUCUUGAUGAGCCGUAAUGCCAUUAAUUUGGUGUUGCGGGGAAUCAGGACUGUUACUUUGAAAAAAUUUAGAGUGUUUAAAGCAGGCAUGCGCUUGAAUACAUUAGCAUGGAAUAAUGAAAUAGGACGUUCGAUCCUAUUUUGUUGGUUUCUAGGAUUGACGUAAUGAUUAAUAGGGAUAGUUGGGGGCAUUAGUAUUCAAUUGUCAGAGGUGAAAUUCUUGGAUUUAUUGAAGACUAACUACUGCGAAAGCAUUUGCCAAGGAUGUUUUCAUUAAUCAAGAACGAAAGUUAGGGGAUUGAAGACGAUCAGAUACCGUCGUAGUCUUAACCAUAAACUAUGCCGACUAGGGAUCGGAUGAUGUUAAUUUUUUAAUGACUCAUUCGGCGCCUU